CCCAGACUCCUACGGGAGGCAGCAGUGGGGGAUAUUGCACAAUGGGGGCAACCCUGAUGCAGCGACGCCGCGUGAGCGAUGGAGUACUUCGGUAUGUAAAGCUCUGUCAGCAGGGAAGAGAAUGACGGUACCUGACCAAGAAGCCCCGGCUAAAUACGUGCCAGCAGCCGCGGUAAUACGUAUGGGGCAAGCGUUAUCCGGAUUUACUGGGUGUAAAGGGAGCGCAGGCGGCGCGGCAAGUCAGAUGUGAAAGCCCGGGGCUCAACCCCGGGACUGCAUUUGAAACUGCCGGGCUAGAGUAUCGGAGAGGCAAGUGGAAUUCCUAGUGUAGCGGUGAAAUGCGUAGAUAUUAGGAGGAACACCAGUGGCGAAGGCGGCUUGCUGGACGAUCACUGACGCUGAGGCUCGAAAGCGUGGGGAGCAAACAGGAUUAGAUACCCGCGUAACC
rnacentral:rRNA from 1 species